GACGAACGCUGGCGGCGUGCCUAAUACAUGCAAGUUGAGCGCUGAAGGUUGGUACUUGUACCAACUGGAUGAGCAGCGAACGGGUGAGUAACGCGUGGGGAAUCUGCCUUUGAGCGGGGGACAACAUUUGGAAACGAAUGCUAAUACCGCAUAAAAACUUUAACCACAAGUUUUAAGUUUGAAAGAUGCAAUUGCAUCACUCAAAGAUGAUCCCGCGUUGUAUUAGCUAGUUGGUGAGGUAAAGGCCAACCAAGGCGAUGAUACAUAGCCGACCUGAGAGGGUGAUCGGCCACAUUGGGACUGAGACACGGCCCAAACUCCUACGGGAGGCAGCAGUAGGGAAUCUUCGGCAAUGGACGAAAGUCUGACCGAGCAACGCCGCGUGAGUGAAGAAGGGUUUCGGAUCGUAAAACUCUGUUGGUAGAGAAGAACGUUGGUGAGAGUGGAAAGCUCAUCAAGUGACGGUAACUACCCAGAAAGGGACGGCUAACUACGUG
rnacentral:rRNA from 1 species